GACGAACGCUGGCGGCGUGCUUAACACAUGCAAGUCGAACGGAAAGGCCCUGCUUUUGUGGGUUGCUCGAGUGGCGAACGGGUGUGUAACACGUGAGUAUCCUGCCCUUGUCUUUGGGAUAACUUUAGGAAACUGGGGCUAAUACCGGGUAGGAGCUCCUGCUCCACGGUGGUGGUUGGAAAGUUUCGGCGGUGGGGGAUGGACUGGCGGCGUAUCAGCUUGUUGGGGGGGUAGUGGCUUACCAAGGCUUUGAAGGGUAGCCGGCCUGAGAGGGUGACAGGCGACAUUGAGACUGAGAGACGGCCCAGACUCCUACUGGAGGCAGCAGUGGGGAAUAUUGCACAAUGGGCGCAAGCCGGAUGCAGCAACGCCGCGUGCGGGAUGACGGCGUUCGGGUUGUAAACCGCUUUCGCCUGUGACGAAGCGUGAGUGACGGUAAUGGGUAAAGAAGCACCGGCUAACUACCUGC
rnacentral:rRNA from 1 species